UUACUACUCCCUCCGUCCCAAAAUUCUUGUCUUAGAUUUGUCUAGAUACGGAUGUAUCUAAUACUAAAACGUGACUUGAUACAUCUGUAUCUAGACAAAUCUAAGACAAGAAUUUUGGGACAGAGGGGGUACUUA
rnacentral:pre_miRNA from 1 species